AGUAACGCGUGAGGAACCUGCCUCAAAGAGGGGGACAACAGUUGGAAACGACUGCCUAAUACCGCAUAAGCCCCACGGCUCGGCAUCGAGCGAGAGGGAAAAGGAGCAAUCCGCUUUGAGAUGGCCUCGCGUCCGAUUAGCUAGUUGGUGAGGUAACGGCCCCACCAAGGCGACGAUCCGGUAGCCGGACUGACGAGGUUGAACGGCCACAUUGGGACUGAGACACGGCCCAGGACUCCUACGGGAGGCAGCAGUGGGGAAUAGUUGCACAAUGGGGGAAACCCUGAUGCAGCGACGCCGCGUGGAGGAAGAAGGUCUUCGGAUUGUAAACUCCUGUUGUUGAGGAAGAUAAUGACGGUACUCAACAAGGAAGUGACGGCUAACUACGUG
rnacentral:rRNA from 1 species